rnacentral:lncRNA from 1 species
GCUCUCUCUCUUCUCUACCGUCUCUGUUCUCUCGAAUUGUAUAGGUAAUGGCAAAUUUCCGUGAGUUGAUUUUUAAUUUUUGAAAAUCCAGUUGAUAUUGUGAGCUUAAUUACACUUGGAUUGAUGUUGUAGUCGAAUUGUAUAGGUAAUGGCAAAUUUCCGUGAGUUGAUUUUUAAUUUUUGAAAAUCCAGUUGAUAUUGUGAGCUUAAUUACACUUGGAUUGAUGUUGUAGUCGAAUUGUAUAGGUAAUGGCAAAUUUCCGUGAGUUGAUUUUUAAUUUUUGAAAAUCCAGUUGAUAUUGUGAGCAAAUGAGACAAUUAUUUUCAAUAGUCUUAGGAGAUGGCCUUGUGCUGGAGAUGGGAUUUUGAUAGCCUUAAGAGAUGGUCUUGUGCUGGAGAUGUCAUUUUGAUAGUUAUUUACAUGCAGUUUCUUGGUUACAAUUGGCAAUCCGUUAUAUCCUUUGAACUUGACUACUACAAAUAUUCCAAUUGAUGGAUGAGUUGAUUAUUCUUGUGUUCCUCUUAGACAUUUUUGAAAUGAGUGGCAAACAGACCAUAUUUUUCUUCUUUUUGUUUUCUUUGUAAUUGAAAUUGAAUAAUUUUAUUUGAGCUGAAUGAAAUUAGUGUAGACUUUUUGUUGUACUUUUGAGAUGAAUGCAGUAAGAUGUAUUUCUUUUUUUUUGGGGGAGAAAAAAAGAAAAUUAGACCUAGCACAUACUUAUGUAUUUCUUUUUUUUUGUCUUUGCCUAGGAUGUUGUAGUCGAAUUGUAUAGGUAAUGGCAAAUUUCCGUGAGUUGAUUUUUAAUUUUUGAAAAUCCAGUUGAUAUUGUGAGCAAAUGAGACAAUUAUUUUCAAUAGUCUUAGGAGAUGGCCUUGUGCUGGAGAUGGGAUUUUGAUAGCCUUAAGAGAUGGUCUUGUGCUGGAG